AGGAAGUUAUGCAAGGUCAAAGCCAUCAUUCCCUUCCAUGGUUUCCCCGUCUGAAGAAACUGAUGAUAGACCAUUCUGGUCUUAGACAUUCUGCCAUUACAGGAUCCACUUCUUAAACCAGGUCCUCACAAGCUCAGAUUGAAGGCAUGGCUCUUGAGAGGCAGGCUCUGAUUUCCAAGUGUUUACCAGAAACUGCCAUGUCUACAUUUUUGCAUUCCUGUAAGAUCUCUCCUCCCAGUACUUACCACAAGAUAUGGGGAAGUUUCGCCAUGCGGUCAAACACCAACAUGCAGUCCACAAAUCUUGUCUAUUUCACAGAUCCUGGGCAAUCCGGCCUGCAUUGAGGUUGUGACAAACUGCCCUUUGCCACUGGCUUUUGGAGGAGCCUGAUUGCCAGCCUCCUACCCUAUAACUAUGGCCCUUGUAACUUUCUGAGGUUUAACGCAGUUGGGACAGAAUCCUCUGCCCCUGGAUUGCAUCUUUUGUCUUACUUGAACAUUUUGAACAUUUCCCUGUGGAUUCAUAUAUUGGUUCGUGCUGUUCUAACUCUAUUACAGCCAGGAUAAUGCUGUUCGUACAGACGAACAAACA